GACGAACGCUGGCGGCAGGCUUAACACAUGCAAGUCGAGCGCCCCGCAAGGGGAUCGGCAGACGGGUGAGUAACGCGUGGGGACGUACCUUUUGGUGCAGAACAACUCCGGGAAACUGGAGCUAAUACCGGAUAAGCGCUAACGGGGAAAGAGGUAUCGCGCAGAAAUCGGGGCGCGUCUGAUUAUCGAGUGGGUGAGGUAGCGGCGCACCAAGGCGACGAGUAGUAGCUGUUGUGAGAGGAUGAUAAGCCACACUGGGACUGAGACACGGACCUGACCCCUACGGGAGGGAGCAGUGGGGAACAUUGUACACUGGGCGCAAGUCUGGUCCAGCCAUGCCGGGUGAGUGAUGAAGGGCUUAGGGUUGUAAAGCUCUCUUGGCCGGGAAGAUAAUGACGGUAACGGAAGAAUAAGCACCGGCUAACUACGUG
rnacentral:rRNA from 1 species